rnacentral:piRNA from 1 species
UUCACUACACGCCAACCAGAGUGGUC